rnacentral:lncRNA from 1 species
UGUAUGAUUUGUGUGAUUUUGAGAGAAAAAUAGAGGAAUCCCAGUUAUCCCCUUUGGUGUGCAAAAAAUAGCAUCUAGAAGUGUCCAAAACGUUUGUUUACAUUGUUUAAUUGAUGGUUCCUUCGUAGUUUACCUUUGUGGGGUCUUCUCUUAACCUUUGUGGUCAUAAAUCAUCACUUUUUCUUGUCCUACAUGUGUAAGAUUGAAUAGCAACUGAGAUAAAUUAUAUUUGUUGUGAUUUGGAGUUGGUUGGAUUGAUUGUUGGUAGAGAAAUAUACGUUGGACUGAGCCCGAAAAUCACCAAUUUGAAGAUCACAGAGACCACUGGUAUGACGUACAGGUGGAGGCAGACCCUACGGUUAGGUGUGUGUUUUCGAUGGAGGCGCAUGGCGAUGGCGAGUGAAGCCGACAUGCAGAGAAGGUGGAGGUGCGUGAGGGCACGUGAGGAAGUUUUUGGCAAUGGUUCCUUUAGUCAAUUUGUUCCUCACAUUAUUUUUGACAUUUUUGUGUUGAAAGUUUUUUGUUUUGGGGUCUGCAAUAGAAUUUGGACAACGUUGUUCUUUCAACGUUCGGAAUUCGAUCAUGGUUCGUUGGUUGCUGUAGUUGCUAGAGGUUUUAGGACGAAUAGUGGUGGUCUUAAAGUGUUAAACUUGCCUACUUCAUAAUUUACAAACUCAAAUUAGUCCACUCUGGUAAAUUGGUUGAAACUUUUACAUUAUCGCACUAGCAGAUCAUCGUAUGAGGGUGAUCAUUAGGAUUGGAGGUUGUCAUUGCUCGGCAACCAUUGCUUGUGCUAGAAAAUUUAGGAAUUAU